rnacentral:lncRNA from 1 species
ACAAAUCUAUCAAAAUUCAAACGUGAAGAUCAGGAACUAAAAUUGCGUUUUAAUUAAAAGACACGCAUGCCUAAUUAACAUCACGGAGCAUAAAAUAAAAAAGUCUAACAAAUUCCAAUGUAAUUAACUAUAAAGUACAGAAUUCUGCCAAAAACAAGGACACGAAGCUAAAAUGUGUGCUCGAAUGAUGUGGGCCUUGGUAAAAACCUUCUUGAAGAAAACCAACUUCAACAUAGACCAACUUCUGUAUAUAUAUGGCGUUCACCACCUCCAUCAUUUCCAUAACCGCGACACUUUAGUAACAAUAUGUUCAAGGUUAACUCCAAACCACAGAAGAUAGUAAUUAAGAAACCUACACCAAAGAUAUAAAACAAAUUACUAAACCAAAAUAAACAACAGUAUCAGAACAUAAACCAAACUUAGAAAGAAAAAAAACAACUAUAAAUCAAGAUAAAUCGUACAACUCACCAACACUAGGAAUAAUUGACUCGGAGAAGACUUAUACAAAACCCGUAUGGCUGCCUCCAGCAUCGGGGUCGUGCAAUUGGAGUCCCAGCUUUCCUUUUGAAUUUUCGGACAUGAUUGUGUGAUGAUCGUACAUACUCCAUGAAGAAUUCGGUACUCGAAAAUAGGUCUUCGUACACUUACGAUGCCACAUAGUGAUGAUGCCAUCGCAUUCGCAGCUCCGUUGCAUAACUAUCUUCUUUGUUACAUUCUUAUCAGACUCCCAAGCAUCCAUCCUCAAUUCCAAUGCUCAAUCACUGGGAAAAAGGAAACAAAAUAUCCACUUUGAACAUGGAAAGAGGUUUCCUGCUUCGACCCCCAGACCACUAUUCCAAGGAGAGGAAGAUUCAAAUCUCUCCUAUGCUUACAGGGAGAUCAGGAAGGUCCGAACAGGGACGAAACGGCUAAUAACAAGAGGGACCUGCGGCCUGCCUAAACCAAUAUUCCUCGGUAUUCCAAAGAGAGGA